rnacentral:rRNA from 1 species
AUUGAACGCUGGCGGUAGGCUUAACACAUGCAAGUCGAGCGGUAACAUUGUUAGCUUGCUAACAGAUGACGAGCGGCGGACGGGUGAGUAAAGCAUAGGAAUCUGCCUUAGAGUUGGGGAUAACAUGUGGAAACGCAUGCUAAUACCGAAUAAUACUACGGUUGAAAGGGGGCCACUUCUUGAAAGCUCUCGCUCUUAGAUGAGCCUAUGUCGGAUUAGCUAGUUGGUGGGGUAAAGGCUCACCAAGGCGACGAUCCGUAGCUGGUUUGAGAGGAUGAUCAGCCACACUGGGACUGAGACACGGCCCAGACUCCUACGGGAGGCAGCAGUGGGGAAUAUUGGGCAAUGGGCGCAAGCCUGACCCAGCCAUACCGCGUGUGUGAAGAAGGCCCGAGGGUUGUAAAGCACUUUUCAGUGAGGAGGAUGUCUUGUGUGGUUAAUACCUGCAAAGUUGACGUUACUCACAGAAGAAGCACCGGCU